rnacentral:rRNA from 1 species
UACGGGGGGGGCAAGCGUUGUUCGGAAUUACUGGGCGUAAAGGGCGCGUAGGCGGUUCGCUAAGUUGGAUGUGAAAACUCUGGGCUUAACCCAGAGCCUGCAUCCAAAACUGGCGAACUGGAGUACUGGAGGGGAAAGCGGAAUUCCUGGUGUAGCGGUGAAAUGCGUAGAGAUCAUGAGGAAGACCAGUGGCGAAGGCGGGUCUCUGGACAGUUCCUGACACUGAGGCACGAAGGCCAGGGG